UACAUGCAAGAAAUUUAGUAUUGCAACAAAACAGUAUCCAAUUUACUAAGUUCGAGGAUAGGCCAAAGCGUGAAAAAACGGAACAUAUUUAACUUACAAUGCAAAGCAGAGUAUGAGAAUGAGGGACGUCGCUGUAUAUCUGCUCAUCGCAGUGGUCUUGAAGUGAGACGAUGAUUCUGCAAUGUACCCCUGCGAAGGUUCUUCCCUUUUAUAGAGGCCCUUUCAUUACCUGGUGAAAAAUGUACAGAAGGCGUACGUUUCAUUCUCUUGCAGCUGUCAGUAAAAAUACCGAUUUAAGUGAUGGAUAAUAUCAUUGACGUUCUUGCAUUAAAGAUCGGUGAUGACCCAAACACGAGGCAUUAGGACAUCUUUUUUAACCUUACUUCGUAAAAGAAAACAAGAAAAAGCAGCCGAAAGUAUCAGAGUACAGUGUCAUCAAAUUUUGAUCUCGGGGCUCGCAAAGGUCAGGAGUGCGGUGUUGGCAAACCACCAUGUCCAAAAGGUUGCACCUGUGAAGGCGGUGGUCCGGGGCCAGUGUAUAUUCCACAAUAUUGUAAAGACAAUGAAUCAGGAUAGCGUUCGUGACGAAAUUAUUGUUAAAUAAACAAUCAACGAGCAUUUAUUGGU